GGACUAUUAGUUCAGUUGGUUAGAGCGUUGUUCUAAUAACGUGAAGGUCCCAAGUUCGAAACUUGAUUAGGCCA
rnacentral:tRNA from 1 species